UAUCGAUAGAAUCAACAGAACAUUCCAUCAGUAAUUAUUUUUUAAUUAUUGACAAAAGAUCUCGUCGGCGAUUCCGUUGGUUAUCCUAAUUAAAAUCCCCAACACAGCCUUUUCCCCCUCAUUUUUCCCAUUCUCCCUUCUUCUCUUUGUCUCUCCAUCCCAUCUACUGUUGGCCCCAUGCUCGACCUCAUCGCUCCCUCCAUCGACAAUCAACCCAUGCUGGCGAUCUACCUAGCCAUAUGCAAGUCUAGCCCAUUCUUUAGUUCUGUUUGCUCCCCUCCAUUCUCCUUCUCCUGAUCGACCUGCCCCCUCCAUUGAAGUUCCUUUCCAGCACCUUUCAUUCUCAUUGUCCUUCUUCGGUUAGGUUUAAGGCUAUUGAAGGAAUCAGAAAAACAACAAAGGGAUAGAUAAAGGAGAAGUCCACCAAUGAAUGGAAAAUGUUGCAAGAAUUGAUGCUUUAGUUGUAGAGACCUUUUAUUUACCUUUACCUAGCAGUUUAGUUUUGGAACUCAAAGAGUGUUAUUAUGUUUUAGUUCUUUAAAGAAGCAUUAUUUAAGUAUCAUAUUUUGCGGGUAAAUUAUGAUUUUGAAUUUAGAAUAAAUUGACAUAAUUACUCCUUUA